rnacentral:rRNA from 1 species
CCUACGGGUGGCUGCAGUGGGGGAUAUUGCACAAUGGGGGGAACCCUGAUGCAGCGACGCCGCGUGGGUGAAGAAGCGCCUCGGCGCGUAAAGCCCUGUCAGCAGGGAAGAAAAUGACGGUACCUGAAGAAGAAGCCACGGAUAACUACGUGCCAGCAGCCGCGGUAAUACGGAGGGGGCAAGAGUUAUCCGGAUUUACGGGGUGGAAAGGGGGCGCAGACGGUGAUGCAAGCAAGGAGUGAAAGCCCGGGGCCCAACCCAGGGACUGCUCUUGGAACUGGGUGGGUGGAGUGCAGGAGGGGCAGGUGGAAUUCCUGGUGUAGCGGUGAAAUGCGUAGAGAUCAGGAGGAACACCGGUGGCGAAGGCGGCCUGCUGGACUGCAACUGACGUUGAGGCCCGAAAGCGUGGGGAGCAAACAGGAUUAGAUACCCGGGUAGUC